rnacentral:tRNA from 1 species
AUCGAGAUGGCGCAGCGGAAGCGUGCGGGGCUCAUAACCCCGAAGUCCCAGGAUCGAAACCUGGUCUCGAUA